rnacentral:lncRNA from 1 species
CUGCAAGGUGUGUUUCUUUGUAUGUAUGGGAUGCAUUGAAUGUGUGUAAGGGGUGCAUUGAGUGUGUGUAAGGAAUGCAUUGUGUGUUUCUGUGUGUGUAAGGGAUGCAUUGUGUGUAACGGCUGCAUUGCUUGUGUAUGUGUGUCUGUGUGUGUAAUGCAUUGUGUGUUUUUCUGUGUGCAAGGGGUGCAUUGUGUGUAUGUGAUGAAUGUCAAUCUCUCCUCCCGCUCCAAUUUCCUUCUCC